rnacentral:misc_RNA from 1 species
GUACGUACUCACAUGGUUUGACGUCACCCCUUUUUCCCUACCAUUUGAAAUUCACUGCUCAAGUUACGACGUUUAAUUAAUGUACGUUUCUAUUCAAUAUUACGUUAUAAUCUAUUAUUUGAUUAUCUUCUUUUCUUUGAUUGUCUUUUUGGUUACUCCAUUUACCGAUCAUUGCUUCAUUGCGAGGGAAACUUCGAAGCAUUAGAGGCAUAUCACGAAAUUCAAAAGGACACUGCGAUGUUCGACGGUGAAUCCGAAAACUUUUCAUGCAGAUUUGAUACGAAAGUUUGCGAGGGAUUGUCCGAAAGGAGGAUACGGGCAAACGGUGAUCGACGAAGGAAAAUACACGAGGGAAGUGCAUCGAGAACGAUCCAGACACCACGUUGCGCGAAUGGCCGCGCCGACACGAUAUUAAAACAUUAAAAUAACGUACGACCGUGCAAAAACGAAAGGCUACGGUUGACGCGAUCCUUUCAUCGCAAUUCCGACCGUCCGGUACUCUAUUCAAACACGAUCAUUCGUUUCGUUAUUACGCGGCAUUUUUCACCGAUGGACAAGCGCGUAUGGCUUACGCAUCGCGCAUUCGUCAUUCGUCCCGACGAUCCCGCGAAUUUAUCAAUUUAUCAAUUUUUAAAUGUUACACGUUUCCCGGUAAUGGACUAGGACACUGCAAACAUGACGCAGCGUAAUAG